rnacentral:misc_RNA from 1 species
GAUGAAGAACGUAGCGAAAUGCGAUAAGUAAUGUGAAUUGCAGAAUUCAGUGAAUCAUCGAAUCUUUGAACGCACAUUGCGCCCGCCAGUAUUCUGGCGGGCAUGCCUGUUCGAGCGUCAUUACAACCCUCAGGCCCCCGGGCCUGGCGUUGGGGAUCGGCGGAAGCCCCCUGCGGGCACAACGCCGUCCCCCAAAUACAGUGGCGGUCCCGCCGCAGCUUCCAUUGCGUAGUAGUAAAACCCUCGUUACUGGUAAUCGUCGCGGCCACGCCGUUAAACCCCAACUUCUGAAUGUUGACCUCGGAUCAGGUAGGAAUACCCGCUGAACUUAAGCAUAUCAAUAAGCGGAGGA